GACGAACGCUGGCGGCGUGCUUAACACAUGCAAGUCGAACGGAAAGGCCCCUUUGGGGGUCCUCGAGUGGCGAACGGGUGAGUAACACGUGAGUAACCUGCCCUUGACUUCGGGAUAACUUCAGGAAACUGGGGCUAAUACCGGCUAGGAAUCCUUGCUGCAUGGUGGGGGUUGGAAAGCUUCGGCGGUUUUGGAUGGACUCGCGGCUUAUCAGCUUGUUGGUGGGGUAGUGGCUUACCAAGGCUUUGACGGGUAGCCGGCCUGAGAGGGCGACCGGCCAAAUUGGGACUGAGAUACGGCCCAGACUCCUACGGGAGGCAGCAGGGGGGAAUAUUGCACAAUGGGCGGAAGCCUGAUGCAGCAACGCCGCGGGCGGGAUGACGGCCUUCGGGUUGUAAACCGCUUUCAGCAGGGGCGAAGCUUGUGGUGACGGUACCUGCAGAAGAAGCACCGGCUAACUACGUG
rnacentral:rRNA from 1 species